UACAGAGGUCCCAAGCGUUGUUCGGAUUUACUGGGCGUAAAGGGUGCGCAGGCGGUCGGAUAAGUCGGGUGUGAAAUACCAAGGCUCAACCUUGGAACGGCGCUCGAAACUGUCUGGCUAGAGGAUUGGAAGGGAGAUUGGAAUUCAUGGUGUAGCAGUGAAAUGCGUAGAGAUCGAGAGGAACACCAGUGGCGAAGGCGAGUCCCUGGACACCACCUGACGCUGAGGCACGAAAGCUAGGGGAGCAAACAGG
rnacentral:rRNA from 1 species